UGUUUAAUCUUAUAACCAAUUUUUGUUAAUUUAAAAACAAUUGUCUAAGAACUGUUCAUGUUUAAUUCUUAGGAGCAAACAGCCCUACAGUACUUAAUUUACCCAGGAGUAGACUACUUGUAGUUGAAGGUGGACUGAAGGCCAGACUUAGGCAGGAUUAUUGAACAAAAUCUGCUUGUAGAUGGACUACUGAGGCAAAAAAAUUGGACUCUCAGGAGGUGAACAGAUGUUCAGCAAGAAAUUCGCACAUCAAAUGCUGUGAAUUACACUGAUUUACCCCCCCCCCCCCAAAAAAAAAAGAACAGAGAGACCAAUCAUUAACAGCUUGAGACUUGGUGCACAUAACCUUGCCACAGAAAAGGGGAUUUGCCUAUAAACACUCCCUAAUGAAAGAUUUUGUAAAUUAUUUGUAACACAGGAGAGAUAUAAGAUGUAUUUCAUUUUCCAUUCAGCUACCAAAAAUACAAUCAUUAUUAGUUAACAUUUGAAAGGAAGUUGAUGUAUUUUUUUCUUGAAAGGAAAAGUAUCAAAUUUGUCUCAGAUACCUUUGAUAAUCAAUGUACAGAAAUACUGAAAAUAACACUUAUUUAUUAAGAAAUACCAUAUAUUUAGAAAUCAUUGUAAUAGAUAUUUAUUGUGUAUUAUUGUGUAAAUAAUAUUAUUGUGUGAUUUAUGUAUAGUCUCAAAAUCUAGAUGCAGUGUAUUGUAUAAAAUUGUAUGAACAAUUGGUGAUUCUUAUACUAGUAUGUUGCACACUUGACAAUUAUUGUAAUUGUGUUGGCGCUGAUAAAUAUUUAUAUACAUGUCAUAUAUUAGUUCAUGUACAAAACAUAUAAAUAUUCUAUAAUAUAACAUAAAGUUUUGGCCUUUAACUCAUCAAAAAUGUA